UAUGUGAUCGUCUCUCGCAUAUCAAUAAGCGGAGGAAAAGAAACUAACAAGGAUUCCCCUAGUAACGGCGAGUGAAGCGGGAAGAGCUCAAAUUUGAAAUCUUAAAGGGUUUCCCUUUACGAAUUGUAGUUUAAAGAAGUGUUUUCUGUUGAGGUUUUGGUAAAAGUUCUUUGGAAUAGGACAUCAUAGAGGGUGAGAAUCCCGUAUUUGACCUUUACUUUCAACUUUGUGAUACACUUUCAAAGAGUCGGAUUGUUUGGGAAUGCAGUCCAAAAUGGGUGGUAAAUUUCAUCUAAAGCUAAAUAUUGGCGAGAGACCGAUAGCGAACAAGUACCGUGAGGGAAAGAUGAAAAGAACUUUGAAAAGAGAGUUAAACAGUACGUGAAAUUGUCAAAAGGGAAGCGUUUGACACCAGUGUUGUUUUUCUGAAAAUCAAUUAAAGAACUGUUUAUGCUAAGUUGUUUAGACUUUAUCAGCUAACUGUUUAGUUUUGAGCUUUUCAUUAAUGCACUUUUCAGUUAACAAGUCAAUAUCAAUUUCUUUUGCUGUAAAAAAGCUUGAGGAAGGUGGCUUGAGAUUCGUCUUAAGUGUUUAUAGCCUCUUGCCUAUGCAGUCGGAGAGAUUGAGGUCUGCAGCGUAGAUCCUUCGGGGCUAAAUGCAUUUGUGCUAAGUUAUAGCAUUUUAUAGACAACUUGUUGACUAUGAUUUGUCUUGUAGCUUACUCGCUUAUGUUAUUUUACCUACGCUUAGGAUGUUGAGUAGCGACAUACGCAC
rnacentral:rRNA from 1 species